rnacentral:rRNA from 1 species
AGCGAACGCUGGCGGCAGGCUUAACACAUGCAAGUCGAGCGGGCAUAGCAAUAUGUCAGCGGCAGACGGGUGAGUAACGCGUGGGAACGUACCUUUUGGUUCGGAACAACACAGGGAAACUUGUGCUAAUACCGGAUGAGCCCUUACGGGGAAAGAUUUAUCGCCGAAAGAUCGGCCCGCGUCUGAUUAGCUAGUUGGUGAGGUAAUGGCUCACCAAGGCGACGAUCAGUAGCUGGUCUGAGAGGAGGAUCAGCCACAUUGGGACUGAGACACGGCCCAAACUCCUACGGGAGGCAGCAGUGGGGAAUAUUGGACAAUGGGCGCAAGCCUGAUCCGGCCAUGCCGCGUGAGUGAUGAAGGCCCUAGGGUUGUAAAGCUCUUUUGUGCGGGAAGAUAAUGACGGUACCGCAAGAAUAAGCCCCGGCUAACUUCGUGCCAGCCGCCGCGGUAA